GACGGAGGGUGCUAGCGUUGUUCGGAAUCACUGGGCGUAAAGGGCGCGUAGGCGGCGUCGCAAGUCGGCUGUGAAAGCCCGGGGCUCAACUCCGGAGGUGCAGCCGAGACUGCGGUGCUCGAGGUCGGAAGAGGAGGGUGGAAUACCCAGUGUAGAGGUGAAAUUCGUAGAUAUUGGGUGGAACACCGGUGGCGAAAGCGGCUCUCUGGUCCGACUCUGACGCUGAGGCGCGAAAGCGUGGGGAGCAAACAGG
rnacentral:rRNA from 1 species